UAAUACGUAGGGAGCAAGCGUUGUCCGGAAUCAUUGGGCGUAAAGAGCGCGUAGGCGGCCCUGUAAGUCCGCUCUGAAAGUCAAAGGCUCAACCUUUGAAAGCGGGUGGAUACUGCAGGGCUAGAGUCCGGAAGAGGCGAGUGGAAUUCCUGGUGUAGCGGUGGAAUGCGCAGAUAUCAGGAGGAACACCAACGGCGAAGGCAGCUCGCUGGGACGGUACUGACGCUGAGGCGCGAAAGCGUGGGGAGCAAACAGGAUUAGAUACCCUGGUAGUCCACGCCGUAAACGAUGGGCAUUAGGUGUGGGAGGUGUCGACUCCUCCCGUGCCGGCGCUAACGCAUUAAAUGCCCCGCCUGGGGAGUACGGCCGCAAGGCUA
rnacentral:rRNA from 1 species